UUGCUAGUAAUGGCAGGUCAGCAUACUGCCGUGAAUACGUUCCCGGGCCUUGUACACACCGCCCGUCACACCAUGAGAGUUGGGAAUACCCGAAGCCUGUGAGCUAACAUUUAUGAGGCAGCAGUCGAAGGUAGAAUCAAUGAUUGGGGUGAAGUCGUAACAAGGUACC
rnacentral:rRNA from 1 species